AUAAUACAGCUCCCGGAUAUUGGUGGGUCAUCAAGCCAGCUGGGUUGCUCUAUUUCUAAACUGGAAGCAAGAAGAGGAACUUUCCAAGAAACCCCCCAACCACUUGGAAGUGGGAAGGAAGGACAUGUGCUUUUCAGGGGCUCACAGGAACCUCCAGAGGACAUGAACUUGGCCUGAGUAUCAGGAGGCAAGGCACUCAAGUGAGCUGAGGGCCCAUGGAAGAUGCCCUCCAGGACAAAUUUUCUCCUGUACCUCCAAAGAUGAAAGACUCCUACCAAAAGGAUGAAAUUUGCCUCAAGCUUUCAAAAUAUCAUAUCCAAGUUCAUUACUCGUGUGCCAUUCCAGUCAACUGGAGUCAAAUCCACCAAGCAGAAUCAUUGCCCGCGACCUUGUCUGCCAUUUAGAAAAUGACUUCCCAAACCACAGAGGGUUAAUUUGGAGCACACCUCUCCACACAGAGGUCUGCUUUUAUAUCUGAUGAAACCAAGGCAAUAUCUUGUCCCACACUGAUAUUUCCGUUUUCAAAAAGAAAAGUUUGUAAUUGCUGUUA